AUACUUACCUGGGUCGUACAUCUGGACUCACGAACCCCGGAUGUACAGUGGGAUUGGUCGUCAUUGCACAGCGACGAUCGGCCCCGCUGCGAACACCUUCGGGUGUCUCGAGGCCACAAUUUUUGCUUUGGGGGAAUGGGUGGUUCGCCGCCUGCUCCCCC
rfam:Rhizopus microsporus genome assembly, contig: SCAF413